rnacentral:tRNA from 1 species
GUACCUAUAGCUCAACGGAUAGAGUACAGGCCUCCGGAGCCUGUGGUCCGGGUUCGAGUCCCGGUAGGUACAUAC